rnacentral:rRNA from 1 species
CCUACGGGAGGCAGCAGUGGGGAAUAUUGCACAAUGGGCGCAAGCCUGAUGCAGCCAUGCCGCGUGUGUGAAGAAGGCCUUCGGGUUGUAAAGCACUUUCAGCGGGGAGGAAGGCGGUGAGGUUAAUAACCUCAUCGAUUGACGUUACCCGCAGAAGAAGCACCGGCUAACUCCGUGCCAGCAGCCGCGGUAAUACGGAGGGUGCAAGCGUUAAUCGGAAUUACUGGGCGUAAAGCGCACGCAGGCGGUCUGUCAAGUCGGAUGUGAAAUCCCCGGGCUCAACCUGGGAACUGCAUUCGAAACUGGCAGGCUAGAGUCGUGUAGAGGGGGGUAGAAUUCCAGGUGUAGCGGUGAAAUGCGUAGAGAUCUGGAGGAAUACCGGUGGCGAAGGCGGCCCCCUGGACAAAGACUGACGCUCAGGUGCGAAAGCGUGGGGAGCAAACAGGAUUAGAUACCCGAGUAGUC